UACAUGUGGGGCAAGCGUUGUUCGGAAUUACUGGGCCUAAAGGGUGCGUAGGUGGCUUGUUAAGUCAGGGGUGAAAGUUUUCGGCCCAACCGGAAAAUGGCCUUUGAUACUGGCGGGCUUGAGUGCGUGAGGGGUAACCGGAACGAGCAGUGUAGCGGUGAAAUGCGUAGAUAUUGCUCGGAAGGCCAACGGCGAAGGCAGGUUACUGGUGCGCAACUGACACUGAGGCACGAAAGCGUGGGGAGCAAACAGG
rnacentral:rRNA from 1 species